ACAGUGAUGUUAUUGGUAAAUACUACAGUGAUGUUAUUGGUAAAUACUACAGUGAUGUUAUUGGUAAAUACCACAGUGAUGUUAUUGGUAAAUACUACAGUGAUGUUAUUGGUAAAUACCACAGUGAGGUUAUUGGUAAAUACCACAGUGAUGUUAUUGGUAAAUACUACAGUGAUGUUAUUGGUAAAUACCACAGUGAUGUUAUUGGUAAAUACCACAGUGAGGUUAUUGGUAAAUACCACAGUGAGGUUAUUGGUAAAUACCACAGUGA
ensembl:lncRNA